GACGUCCAAAGGGGUCGCGACCACAGGUUGAGAACCCCUGUUCUAGAUCUAGGUUUAUAGUUGUACAUCAUUCUCAGCAUUUCUCAGGGGACUUUUUGCUUAUACACCGUAAUAUUAUUGUUGACAACGGUAAAAGCAUCAGUAUGGACUAUGGUGGCUCACAUUGUUAUGAUUGUAUUUUCUUUCCUUUUUUAGAUAGAAUCUAUGUCGAAAGAAGAACGAGGUUAAAUGACGUUCUUUUGUUCAACAAAUGAGAAGUACCAGUAUUAAAUAUAACUUGAUUAUUGUACUUUUUGUGUAUAGAUUUUUUAUGAUUUUACAUCAUUGCAUUGAUUUCAUUGAAAUAACUAAACAUUAGACUUGAUUAGAAUUAGAUCUAGAUCUAGACUAGUUACUAGAUUGACUAAGAUUGUCUAGAUCUAGUAUAAUAAAUAGUCUAAAUUUAAAUAAUAACGUAGACCGUAGAUAUGAGUUAUUAAAUCACAAAAGUAAUUGCUUUUUUUUUUAUCAAGACUAGAUUUUUUUCUAAAUGUUUGAUUAAAAUGUAUUGUACUUUAUUAACAGUACAGUCACUGAACUGUAGUACAGUACAAUACCGAAAAUAAUAGGCCUACUAUGCCCUGCACCUUGCCGUAAGAUGCACUACAGUCCUUAUAUGCACCUAAUAUUUUGAAUUUAGGCCAUAUCAUAUAAUCCAUUCUAUCAUUAUCAAAAAUGUGUAUAAGGCUAGUAUACACUGUACAUUUUAUAAAAAGAUCUUUAAAAAGGUAAAAGGACACCUUUUACAAAAAAUAUUAAAAACUUAAACAGGCCUUAAUAUCAUUCAAAGGGCCUAUUCAGUGGUCCACUGGUCCAGUUGUAGUGUCUACCCAUCAGGCAUUUGAACAUUUGCCAGAAUGCCCAUUAAGCCAGUCCAUCUUUGCUUUGAUAGUACUAAUGACCUCUCUUGUAGAAAUAGCUAUAUGAAGAGUGUUGUUAAGAAUAGUAUAGUUUAAAUGAGCGUGUAGUUCGUUUCAUGAAUCAGCUGGGAAAAACAAUUACUUAGCAGAGUUUAAGUCACUGAUUAACAUGCAUGACUAGACUGACACAUGAAAUUCGUAAUUAGAAAGACAUAAUUAUCUAUUUUUUGAAUAAACGUAUGUAACCUAUAUAAUUAAAUAAGAGGGACACUUGGUUUACUGUGUUCUAUUAUACAGGAAUUGAGGUACCAUUUUUAAGAGCCUUGCUGUUUUCUGUAUCUAAUCUUUUGUAUAGUUUAGACUUUAUUACUGUCACUUCAAUGUAUUUUGUGUAUGACUAGAUAUAGAUUGUAUUUAUUUAAUCUGCCUUUAUACAGUUUGAUUGGGAAGCUUCAUUUCAGAAUGCUAAUAUUCUACAAUCUAUCAUUAAUAUAAUACUGGAAUUGCUUUAUCAAGUGUGAUCUUCACCGUUUAGAAGUUAAUAGAACUAAGCACCUUAACACACUGCAGCUAGUUCUAGUUAACCCAUUCAUAAGUUUUCAAUUAACCAGUAAUUGUAAGUUGAAAAAGUGAAGACUGUGUGUGGAAGUUUGCCAGAGCCAAGCUUUGGAUUUCUUUCAUAGAGCAAGGGACAACACUCUCAAUACCUUUUGAUAUCUUUCCAACACCUAUAGCUGUGGUCUUAGGAAUGUAUUUCUUAUCAAUCGGUAAUCAUGCAUCACAUGCCCUCAGAUAUGUACACAAAAUGAAGUUUGAGGAGAAAGAGAAAGGAUCAAGAUGAUUUACAAGACACUAAAGAAGUUAUCUAUCAACUAUACUCAAUGUAUGAAUGACUUGCAGCCAGACUACAAUUAUAGAGAAAGAUGUUUUUCUGCUGGCUAAACAUGUAUGGAUUGUUUUGAGUUUUGCAAGUGCUGCUGUUGUCUAGGCAAUUCUGGCCAGUAGUUCCGGUUUUGGUUUCUUCAUCUGAGACAAAAACUCCAAGGGUCUGUUCCAUCACAUCCAGUCAAUAAAGGAAUAAUAUCUAUGAUGUCAGACAACAAUAAAGAUCCAUUUCUGUAGAAGAAGAUCUCACUACCAUGAACACUCUAGGGCUAGGGAGACAUGAACUACAUGAAGACAAUUUUGGGAUGGAGGAAACCACACUGAGACUUCAAUGGGGGAACAAAAGUCAAAUGGAGUGUGUUCAAAGGACAUGAUGCCAGUAAAAUGAGAAAAUAGAGUGGAAGAGAGUCCAGAGUUUGUUUUGCUCCCGAUUCAAUAGAGAACAAAGUUAAGAUUAGCGAUGAAGAUAAAAGGAAUCUCUAAAACAAUAAUUCUUAUCAAAAUCCAACAAUCUCUAUUCAAACUAUUAAUCUAAGCAGUAACAUGACAACUAAUUGAACCAAAGUGUUUUAGCUUGAACCAAAGAGUGAAGCUCACGUGAGGACAGUUUUCAACACUUACAGUGUUGUUGAGUUACAGUACUAGUCCUCGGUGGAAUCAAGGAGUCAUUAAAGAAUCAUUCUGGAAGAUCAAAUCAAUACAAGCACUGAACAGCAGACAGGAAUGAAAAAUAUGGCCAACAGAUCAUGUGUGAUGCCCCAAUGGUCCAACAACUGAGGGAUAGGUGAAUGUGAUAAUACAUAAUAGAUAAUGAUGCAGAGUAUUUCCUGGUGAUCAAGAAUUAGGAGCUGCACACAGUUUAAUGAAACCAUAUUUUAGGAACAGAUAGAAAACAAAGAACUGCAGCAAAGAUGGCCUGUUUUUAUUCUUCUUCAUG